AUCCAUGUCAGACUACAAGUCUUGUAUGUUUAGUAAAGCGUCUGCUGCCUGCCUUGUAGCCAGAAACAAUCGCUCACCCUCGAUUGAAAACCACCAGAGCAAUCUCAUUAGCCGUUAAAAAGAAGGGGGUCACAAAGGAGAGAGAGAGAGAGAGAGAGAGAAAAAAGACGAUCAGAUAUGUCGCUAUACAGUAUAGCGUUUAGUAUUAUAUAGCCGACAAUAUAGAACACAUAACAUCGUCUUUCAUCAAAAGUGAGGGGCCCGUGUGUUUCCUAUACACAUCAACGGAGAGCACGGGAUGGAAAAGGACAACUUGACUCCAUACGCCGUUGGUGAUGUAGACAAUCUACGGAACGAAGGAAAAGAAAAUGAAUUGCCUUUGACUUGCUCCGGAUCAUAAAACUUCUUCAGUGCCAGUUCACCACCAUGAGAAAACUGAGAUUCGACCGAGCUCUCUCUGGCCUGAUAUUAUUAAUAUUAUUAGCUGGGCUUUCUUUAUUUUCUUUCUUUAUUUGUUGUUUGGUUUCCCCUUUGGUGAUAUUAUAACACACACAUGUCCUGAGAUGUUGAGUUUUGCUCGUGUCUACGCUCUACGUGGAAUUUGAAAUAAAAAUUGUGGACGUUGAA